CCCUUAGAUGUCCUGGGCCGCACGCGCGUUACACUGAUGCAUUCAACGAGCUUAUAACCUUGGCCGAGAGGCCUGGGCAAUCUUGUUAACGUGCAUCGUGAUAGGGAUAGAUUAUUGAAAUUAUUAAUCUUGAACGAGGAAUUCCUAGUAAACGCAGAUCAUCAAUCUGCAUUGAUUACGUCCCUGCCCUUUGUACACACCGCCCGUCGCACCUACCGAUUGGAUGGUCCGUUGAAGCCUCGGGAUUGUGGUUCUUGCCGCUUUAUUGUGGCGUGACCGCGAGAACUUGUCUAAACCUUAUCAUCUAGAGGAAGGUGAAGUCGUAACA
rnacentral:rRNA from 1 species